UACGAAGGGGGCUAGCGUUGUUCGGAAUUACUGGGCGUAAAGCGCGCGCAGGCGGUCUUCCAAGUCAGUGGUGAAAGCCCGGAGCUCAACUCCGGAACUGCCUUUGAUACUGGGGAUCUCGAGUCCGGGAGAGGUGAGUGGAACUGCGAGUGUAGAGGUGAAAUUCGUAGAUAUUCGCAAGAACACCAGUGGCGAAGGCGGCUCACUGGCCCGGAACUGACGCUGAGGUGCGAAAGCGUGGGGAGCAAACAGG
rnacentral:rRNA from 1 species